rnacentral:rRNA from 1 species
GGGCUACACACGUGCUACAAUGGUCGGUACAAAGGGUUGCUACCUAGCGAUAGGAUGCUAAUCUCAAAAAGCCGAUCGUAGUCCGGAUUGGAGUCUGCAACUCGACUCCAUGAAGUCGGAAUCGCUAGUAAUCGCGGAUCAGAAUGCCGCGGUGAAUACGUUCCCGGGCCUUGUACACACCGCCCGUCACACCAUGGGAGUUUGUUGCACCAGAAGUAGCUAGCCUAACUGCAAAGAGGGCGGUUACCACGGUGUGGCCGAUGACUGGGGUGAAGUCGUAACAAGGUAGCCGUAGGGGAACCUGCGGCUGGAUCACCUCCUUAA